AUGAUCGCGGCCGCCAGGGAGCCGGGCAGCCGGGCUGGGGGGCGCGCGCCGCGGCAAGGCGGGCAGGCAGACCCUGGGGCCGCGGGGCCCGGGGCCGGGAAGACGGGCGCGGGCUUUACCUCUCCCCCAGGGCAGAGUAGGGCACGUUUAGCGUCUUUGGGGCCGGCGGGAGGAACGCUGGCCCGGCGGCGCGGGGGAGGCAGGGCGAAGGUCGGAGGCUUUCCCGCGGGUGGGCGGGGCGGCAGGGGAUCCCCGGGGGCGGGAGGAGGGGAGGCCGCGGGCGGCGACGCGCGGGCGGGGGAGGGGGCGUCCCCGUGGUGGCUGGGGUUGAGGCCGGGGCGAGGGGCGGGGGGACGCCCAGGCGCCGGGGCCCAGCUGGGCCGGCGCGGCCGCCAGCUCUGCCCGGAGGUAGGGGCAGGAUGGGCGCCCGGCCCGGCACGAACCCGGAGCCAGUGCCCCGGGUCUCCCCGGCAGGGCGGGCCCCAGACCGCGCCGGCCCCGCCACCCACCCGCCGCUUCGCCCCUCCCCGCCCCGCCCGGCCGAGCCGCCGCAGGGACGGGAGGGGGGAGCGGGAGGAGGUGGCAGCGCGGCCCGGGGGGGGGGGGGCGGGGUUAGGGACGCGGGGGGCGGGAGCCAGGGGUCGCGACGCCUGGGGAGCCAGCACCCGGCGGGGGCGGAGGGGCGGACCCGGCCAGUCACGCGGUCCCGGGAAGGCCUGGCCGGGUCGCUCAGUUGGGGGCGGUUGGUCCGGGAAGAGGGGCGGGUCGCUCAGCGGGGGUUACAGCUGGGCAGGCGCCUUUAGGAGGUGGGUGAGACGGCUGACUAGUACCAUCAGUUCUAUCACACGAGUUACCAAUAUUUUACCACCCCUCCAUCCCCCACAGGCUGUGAAGCAAAACGGAACAGCUGGGCACGCACAGGGAGGAUGUCUGUACGGCUGUUGUUCUAGGUUUGUCAGCCGGGGCGGGAAUCAAGGAAUCCAGGGGCUAACUUGUCCUGCUCCAAGAAGCAAAAGAGCCCACGCCAUUGCUGACUGUGGUGCUGUGAAUUUUGUUAUCUUCACUCCUUUCCAGAAUGGACGUUUUCUUUGA
rnacentral:lncRNA from 1 species